CAGACCUCUAAUCGGAAAAGACUACCCGCUGAGUUUAAGCAUAUCACUAAGCGGAGGAAA
rnacentral:rRNA from 1 species